GGUGAACGCUGGCGGUAGGCCUAACACAUGCAAGUCGAACGGCAGCACAGGAGAGCUUGCUCUCUGGGUGGCGAGUGGCGGACGGGUGAGGAAUACAUCGGAAUCUACUCUGUCGUGGGGGAUAACGUAGGGAAACUUACGCUAAUACCGCAUACGACCUACGGGUGAAAGCAGGGGAUCUUCGGACCUUGCGCGAUUGAAUGAGCCGAUGUCGGAUUAGCUAGUUGGCGGGGUAAAGGCCCACCAAGGCGACGAUCCGUAGCUGGUCUGAGAGGAUGAUCAGCCACACUGGAACUGAGACACGGUCCAGACUCCUACGGGAGGCAGCAGUGGGGAAUAUUGGACAAUGGGCGCAAGCCUGAUCCAGCCAUACCGCGUGGGUGAAGAAGGCCUUCGGGUUGUAAAGCCCUUUUGUUGGGAAAGAAAUCCAGCUGGUUAAUACCCGGUUGGGAUGACGGUACCCAAAGAAUAAGCACCGGCUAACUUCGUGCCAGCAGCCGCGGUAAUACGAAGGGUGCAAGCGUUACUCGGAAUUACUGGGCGUAAAGCGUGCGUAGGUGGUUAUUUAAGUCCGUUGUGAAAGCCCUGGGCUCAACCUGGGAACUGCAGUGGAUACUGGAUGACUAGAAUGUGGUAGAGGGUAGCGGAAUUCCUGGUGUAGCAGUGAAAUGCGUAGAGAUCAGGAGGAACAUCCAUGGCGAAGGCAGCUACCUGGACCAACAUUGACACUGAGGCACGAAAGCGUGGGGAGCAAACAGG
rnacentral:rRNA from 1 species